GGAAAUUAAGGAUUUCUAGUAGUAGAUUUCUUUAAUUCUUGGGAGACACAGCAUUUGCAGCCUUCUGCUCCCAGCAUCUGUGAAACAGACCAAGGAACAGAGCAGAACAAGUGUUGGCCAUAUCUCUGAGAUUAAAGACCAUUGUAUGGGAGUUGCUAAGCCACGGCCUGAAGCGGUGAUUGAGCACCUGGUGAAGGGAUGCAGCCAGCCCUGGGAGCACAGGUGGAAGCAAUUCAACCUCGUGACUGGAAGGGGUGGACCCUGUCUCCAUCCCCUCCUAACCUCAUUUAAGAGCUGGCAGCCACAAGGAAAGGAUGCUUCUGUGGAAAUCCCUCCUUUUGGAGUGUUUAGUGAGCCCUGAUCAUUGGAUGGGUGACCACAAGUCUUCUGCAAGUGCUGAAAAGCAGUUUGCUGCCCCUGCAUCACCAGCUGUGCAGACACGUUUAGUACCUGUGCUCGACGGACGGUGAGCAGCCACCUUGUGCUGAGUGGUACCUGGGGGGGAGACUGAGCAUGCAGCCUCUGCUAGGUGCCAUGCAUGCCUUAUUCUGAUGUAUACAAAGGCUGAUAGGAUCCGGCCCAAAGAUGUAGGUGGGAGAAUCAUUACAAGAAGAUAUGCUGGGCUCUGCUUUAGAAGCUGGGAUGUAUGCUGGAGUUCUUCCUUCUGACCUGGAGCUGCCUUGCAAGCUACCAUUGCUCUGACUUCCUCAAUGGAACCUCAUGGGUGGUGAAGUGAGUUGAGAAAAUCCAAACCAAAACUGCUUAAAGGUAAAAAGUCAUCUGGGAACAUUGGUCAGCUGUUGAUAGUAAUUAAAUUCCAGGCUUUUUUAAUCUGAAAAUUGUAGCAAUGUAACCUUAACUUUUCAUAAGCUACGCUCUACAUGCACAUUCAUAAGCCAGUUCCCUUAAGCUCAGCUGAGAUCUCUGUAUUUUACAAGUUAUUAUGGGCAACAGAUUAAUAUUAAAAUUAAUACUGGAAGUAUUAGAAUUGUUUUUUCCUCUCUCCUGAGCAAUAAGAACACCUCUGUUCUCCUCAUGCACAGAGGAGAACAUGUGUAAAUUCAAUCACUUCAGCUGUGUGACUGAUGUAUUUUAUCUUGGAGCUCUGUGAUCUUCUGUCUUGUCACCAUCUGCACGAAGGUUUCUUUGCAGCUGCCUGGUUUCCUUCAUCCCUGUGGGCUGUGCUGGGGGUGGUUGGAUCCCCUGCCUGGGGUCUGAGGUAUGGGGUGUGGGCAGGUGGCUGUGGGACUGCAGGCAGAGUCCAGGCAUGGGAUGCUCUCAGCAGUUUUCCUGCAAAAGGACAUGAAUCAUGGAAUCAUAGAAUGGCCUGGGAUGAAAAGGACCACAAGGACCAUCUAGUUUCCACCUCCCUGCUAUGUGCAGGGUCACCAACCACCAGACCAGGCUGCCCGGAGCCACAUCCAGCCUGGGAAGAUGGAUGUGAAGAUGGAGAUGUCCUGAAGGAGGCUUCCAAAAGUCUCAGGGAGAAAACACUGGUAUCUGAUGAGGCAGUGCAGGAAUCGUUACCCAGAUGAGGCCGGUUCUUGGCUCAACAUUGUUUGAGAUGCCUCUUCUGCCCUGCCUCGUGUUGGAAGAACUCCUCGUAUCUGUGCCUGCCUCUUCUCCAUGGUGGUUUUAACACCAGGACUGCCACACCGCUCUGGCUGAGGCAACAAGGAAGGCCACAGCCUAACUGUAUUUUAAAUAACCACGUAAUGCUUCAGUAUCUCAACUACUUCUUGUGAAGCAGCUUCUAUCAUAUCUGAAAGAUGAGUUAUAAUUUGGAGAUUGGCCUUGGUGAUCUCCAGAGGUCCCUUUCAACCCUUAUGGUUCUGUGAUUAUCAGUCGUGGGUAAGCAGAACUGGCAGCUGAAUGAGGUACUGGGGCUUAAAUGAUGCACUGAGCUUGGGAAUGGUCUGAGGGCUGGUACACCUCUACAGCAGUGCUUUCUAUUUGUGUUCUUCAAGCACGUUUUUGCUGGAGAACACACAGGGCCACACAGUGAUGGAUGGGGCGUGCUGUCAUUUUGAGUCACCGGCAUUUUGGGAUGGAAUAGGAAAGCUCCUUAAAAGCAGCCAGUGUCACAUUUGCAGCUUCAUUUUCAUGGGCGAAUAUUGCUUUGAGACUAAUGUAAGCUCUAUGUAUUAUUUGGUACUGAAAGUGUGCUAUGGAAUUUCAUUUCAAAGUACUCUCAGGGUCAUUUAUGCACAUAUAAUGGGUGGAUAAGUCAAACAAAGAGCCCUUCUCUGCCACUCUGGGCACCAGGUCAUGCUGAGGCAUCCAUGCUGGGAGCCAGAAUAGAUACCAGCACAAGUUUGCUGCUUCACUAUCCUGCUUUCUGCCCCAAAUACCCAUCUGCUCAGCUCUGCUUCUGCAGAGCAUGGAGGCAGUGGCUGAGGUUUGUGAUACUGAGGAGGAGGGGAAGGUGGCGCAGUCAAUGGUGAGGGCUGAUGUGUUCUGGGGGCAGCUGGUAGGAAGCUGGCAUCAGUGUGCUCUGUGAGCCCACCCUGAGCUGGCAUUUCAUUGAGAGCCUUUUUAGAGGCUGUGUGUUGUUUUGUCUAAUAGAAAACAAGCUUUGCAAAUGAGCUGCUGAGCACUUUAGCAGGGGGUAUUUUUUUUUUGCAUGUUUGCAAUAUUCAGUUCAGGCAUUGACAGCUGUGAACUUCACAAUGAGACUGACACUUGAGAUCUGUGUAAAGGUCAAUUUUUUAAUUGUGCCUUAUAGAUAAAAGAAAUAUCUACAUCGAUAUAGUCUAAUCGCAUUGAUUUCAGCACGGAGUUUUCAAUUAUUAUUCAGAAUUCUCUGUUAUCUCGUUGCAGUCCCACAGCCUUAGCAGGCAGUGCAAUGCUCCGUGAGAUAACCUUUAACUCAUGCUGCUGGGUCAAAAGUGAGUUGUGAUGAGUACUCCCUGCCAUUCCACAGUGAACUGUCUGGGUAAGGAAGGCAUCUGUUGCUGCAGUGCAGAUCAUGAUGCACUGAGGAUGCCUUCAGUUCUGAUACGGUAUAUUGGCUGUUUGCAGGUCUGCUGGUGCACAAAUAAGCCAAGAUCUCUUCCAUGCAGGAAGCUGCACUGCAGGGCAGUGGGAGGAAUGGCUGUGAUUAUCCCAUUACAAAGAGAAGGAUGUCUUAACAUUGGAAUCAUUGCUCGUGUUUUAGAGUGACCUUGUAAAGUAUGGUUCAUCACAGGGGGAUCGAUACUAAAUAAUAAUGCUUCUGCUUAGUUCCAGUAAAUACCUUGGGUUUAUCUAGGAGGUAUCACUCAGCUGUUUCCAACAGCUUCUAUGUGAUCAGCUGAAGCCAAAACACAUCUGCUUCUCAUAGGUGUGCCUGUAGGACUCUGCUGUUAGUGGUGUUCAGGGUAGCCAGAGGUACUCCCUGUUGUCUCAGUAGGAAACCUUUCAGUGUAUGAAGGACAAUGUUUCCAUGAAAAUAUCAAUACAAUGGUGGGCACACCUCCAUUGACAGUUCACAGCCCAGUAUUUCCUCCGCACGGUUGGAGUGUGGUAUAAUGUCAAAGGUCUGCCUGUCCCUUGCUGGACAUGGGAUGGAGGUGCCUGAGGCUGCUAUGGGCUGGGCAGCCCAACAUCAUGUAUGUAUAUAUGGCCAGGCAGGAUGUGGCUCUGGGCAGCCUGGUCUGGUGGUUGGUGACCCUGCACGUAGCAGGGGGUUGGAACUGGACGAUCUUUGAGAUCUUUUUCAACCCAGGCCAUUCUAUGAUUCAUUCUUUGAUUCUGUAUAAACAUUAAUACAUACACGUGUAUAAAAUAUUAUCACUCUGCAGCUGCAUUUGACUAUCAUCACAGAGCUUGUAUGCAUUCUAAUAAAUUCAUCAAAGGAAAAGAUCAGGCAGGUGCCAAGUGCUGCAAAAUGACCUGGACAAAGAAUGCAGAGGGUUUAGGAGUGCUUUGCAUAAAUAGGAGAAUUAUGUGCUUCACGGAGCAAGCAGUGUUCAGGUUUAAAGACACAGAUGUGUGACAGGCAUUCAGACAGUAAAUUCUGCACCUCCAGUGAUUCUGUGAUAGAAAUGUGUGCCUAUACCUCUGUAUAAUCUGCAACAAUCGAUAAAAUCAAGCAGGUUUUUUAUGAAAACAGUUUUAUUGGAAACUUUUUUAACAGUUUAAGACUCUCUCUUGUAAGUAACUGUCCCUGGACUACUGAGGUGGGUGGAGGGCUCCAUCCCCUCCUGGCAGCCCAGGGCUGAGCCCAUAUCCCUUCCAGGACCUGGCUGCAGCACCUGCUCGCUGUUUGGCAGCCUGACAUGCUUUCUGGUUUGUCCCUUUGGAUAGUGAUAUGCUGAUUCAAGCUGUACAGGAGAAACCAACAACUCAACUCUGUAUUGUGAUGAGACUCUCAGUGCUGUAUGGACAGAAUGGGGAAGCAUUCAAGCGCGUUUCCUUUCUCAGCACGUGGGAUACAGGAGGGCAGCAAAGCAUCACCUGUGAUGAACCACUCAUGUAUCCUUCUUGUAUCUGCAGGUCAGCUGCUGUUUAUGUUCGUUAGUAAAUUAUGUGCCAACCUCAUCACGUCACCCUGCAAUCACAGUGCUGUGUUCCAUGUGUCCAACCUCCAUACAUUUGUGUUUAUAUUGAGCUAUUGCAUCCUGCUCAGGGGUGAGGGCACCUCUCUGCUGCUGCACAAAUUGGAGAACUUCUGCUUCACCAAAGCUCAUAAUGCCUUCAAGGCAUCGGUUCCUCUCAUAGCAUUUCCCAAUCAAAGUAUUAAAAUGAGAGUUUUAUAUCCAGCCAAUACUCUUCUCAUAGCUGAUAAAGGCAAAUGAGGAAUCAUUUAUAUGAUUUAGGUUAUGAGAAGAGUAUAGGAAGAGAAUAUAAGCAAAGCAUUUAUUUCCCACCUGUAUAGAAAUGAAGCUGCUGUUUCUAAUAAAUCCUACUUGAAAAGAUGGCACUGUUAUGAAAGAACGGAGAGAGAGACCUGAGGCUUUACCUUCGUGCUGCUCCAGCCCCCAGGAGUUCAAGUGGGUUUUCUCUUUCCCAGCCCUUGAAUCAGCAGGCAGAAACUGUGGGUGCUGGCUGAAAGGGGGAGGAUGCUCUGAAGUGAGAUGUAGCUGCACCACAGCCUGGAGGCAGAAGGAGGGCUGUGUGUGCUCAGGGCUGCUGGGGGGGGAGGGUGGUUCGGAAAGCAAAACGAUCCUAUUCAACAAUAGAGGAGAAAUUAGGAGCUUGAAAAUAGCAGCAAAUUGGAAUGAAAAGAAUGCCAAUUACCAACUUUGAUCCCUCUUUUCUUUAUUUUUGUUUGAAAGAAAUAUUUUGUGAUAGGCACAUCUUGAAGUUUUCCACUUUUCUUUUGUUUUAAGCAGUGGGAGAUUUGGUAAACCUGUCCUUUAUCCUGCAAAUUCCCACCCUGAACCCUUUGUCCUAAAACUUCUGACUAAUUUCUAGGUAUUUUGAAUACUUAAGUUUGAGAAGACGUGGGAACUGACGACUUCUGUCCUCCGAGGAGAUGGCAUGAAUUACUGCAAUUGGAAAAUAAUUAAGAAGCAAUUACAGAAGCAAACAGAAAUCCUGUGCGUACAGCCAGGCCAUUAAAAUAUGUUCUCUAAGAAAUUACCACAACCACGCUGGAAAGAAAAGCGACAUUUAAAUAAAGUUAUGGUUAUAACAAACUAAAAAGGAAGAAAAAAACCAAAGCAAUUCGUCCUGGAAAAACAAGCAUUGGCUGCUCUGUGACUGUGCUGCAAACGGGAGUGUGUGCAAGUGGGACACGAGGGGAGAACAGCUUCAUGCCUCCCUUCUCCAGCAAGCAGCACUGUACCACUGCACCAGUGAAAUAAGUCAUCGAGAGUGACCAAGGGACUCGAAGUGUUCCGUAGGCAGCCAUCAUCUUGCUGCUUGCAGAGUGUGCAGGAGACUGCAUAUGAGCCCAGCAUCAGUCCUGCAGGAGUCAGCAGCCAGGCACAGACUGGCUCCUGGUGCUGCCUGAUGGAGAGUGGCCGCUGGGUGGAAGGAGCUGCUGUUCCCUCCUUUGGACCCAGAGUAACUUUUAAAUCAUUCUGGGAAGAAAGGAAUGGCAUAUUUGGUGUCUCAGAUGUUCCUUGAGCAGUACGACCUGCACAGAAGUGACGUAUAGUGGACACAAAACAGCUCCUCAAUUAGGGAGACGUAGGGGCAGAAUCACAUCUCCCCAGCAGAACUCAAGAAGCCCUUCUUAGCACUACCACUGCGCAACCGAAGGUAUUUGAUCUGAAGUAUGAAGAAUGAUUUAAUCAGACAGAUUAACCUACCUGGUGCAUCUGAAACACUUCCAUUCCAUCGAAGUCCAUCAACAACAUAGGCUUUAAGUGGAGUUUUAAAAAGUUUAUGAGAAGAAUAUGGAAGGAAUAAGGAGAGUGACAAUUCAGCACGUUUUAGCUCACGUGCUUCUGCAGCAGAAGGUACAGCACUGGGAAUGGGGGCACUGCUGUGACUGACCCCACCACAGGACCUGGCCACCCCAGAGCAUAUUUUCAAGGACUAAUUUCAAGUGUAUACGUUAUAAAUCUGCAAACUAUCUCUGUGAGCCGUGCAUGCUUUACAUCCCUUCAAUCCCAUUGCCUAAUAUUAGUGAAAGUGACAAGACAUUAACUGCAUAUUAAUUGAAUUUUUCACGGAUGAUUAAAAUACAGAAACUGUGCAACAGAUUUCUCCUUUGAGG
ensembl:lncRNA